rnacentral:rRNA from 1 species
UACGUAGGCAGCAAGCGUUGUUCGGAAUUACUGGGCGUAAAGAGUGUGUAGGCGGUGCUCUAAGUCUGUUGUGAAAUCUCCCGGCUUAACCGGGAGGGUGCGGCGGAAACUGGAGUGCUUGAGGGUGGGAGAGGUAAGCGGAAUUCCUGGUGUAGCGGUGAAAUGCGCAGAUAUCAGGAAGAACACCCGUGGCGAAGGCGGCUCUCUGGGACGGUACUGACGCUGAGACGCGAAAGCGUGGGGAGCAAACAGG